rnacentral:rRNA from 1 species
AGCGAACGCUGGCGGCAGGCCUAACACAUGCAAGUCGAACGAAGUCUUCGGACUUAGUGGCGGACGGGUGAGUAACACGUGGGAACGUGCCUUUAGGUUCGGAAUAACUCAGGGAAACUUGUGCUAAUACCGAAUGUGCCCUUCGGGGGAAAGAUUUAUCGCCUUUAGAGCGGCCCGCGUCUGAUUAGCUAGUUGGUGAGGUAAUGGCUCACCAAGGCGACGAUCAGUAGCUGGUCUGAGAGGAUGACCAGCCACACUGGGACUGAGACACGGCCCAGACUCCUACGGGAGGCAGCAGUGGGGAAUCCUGCGCAAUGGGCGAAAGCCUGACGCAGCCAUGCCGCGUGAAUGAUGAAGGUCUUAGGAUUGUAAAAUUCUUUCACCGGGGACGAUAAUGACGGUACCCGGAGAAGAAGCCCCGGCUAACUUCGUGCCAGCAGCCGCCGUAAGAC